rnacentral:rRNA from 1 species
UCCAUAGGUUAAUGAGGCGAACCGGGGGAACUGAAACAUCUAAGUACCCCGAGGAAAAGAAAUCAACCGAGAUUCCCCCAGUAGCGGCGAGCGAACGGGGAGGAGCCCAGAGCCUGAAUCAGUGUGUGUGUUAGUGGAAGCGUCUGGAAAGGCGCGCGAUACAGGGUGACAGCCCCGUACACAAAAAUGCACAUACUGUGAGCUCGAUGAGUAGGGCGGGACACGUGGUAUCCUGUCUGAAUAUGGGGGGACCAUCCUCCAAGGCUAAAUACUCCUGACUGACCGAUAGUGAACCAGUACCGUGAGGGAAAGGCGAAAAGAACCCCGGCGAGGGGAGUGAAAAAGAACCUGAAACCGUGUACGUACAAGCAGUGGGAGCCUCUUUAUGGGGUGACUGCGUACCUUUUGUAUAAUGGGUCAGCGACUUAUAUUCUGUAGCAAGGUUAACCGAAUAGGGGAGCCGAAGGGAAACCGAGUCUUAACUGGGCGUUAAGUUGCAGGGUAUAGACCCGAAACCCGGUGAUCUAGCCAUGGGCAGGUUGAAGGUUGGGUAACACUAACUGGAGGACCGAACCGACUAAUGUUGAAAAAUUAGCGGAUGACUUGUGGCUGGGGGUGAAAGGCCAAUCAAACCGGGAGAUAGCUGGUUCUCCCCGAAAGCUAUUUAGGUAGCGCCUCGUGAAUUCAUCUCCGGGGGUAGAGCACUGUUUCGGCAAGGGGGUCAUCCCGACUUACCAACCCGAUGCAAACUGCGAAUACCGGAGAAUGUUAUCACGGGAGACACACGGCGGGUGCUAACGUCCGUCGUGAAGAGGGAAACAACCCAGACCGCCAGCUAAGGUCCCAAAGUCAUGGUUAAGUGGGAAACGAUGUGGGAAGGCCCAGACAGCCAGGAUGUUGGCUUAGAAGCAGCCAUCAUUUAAAGAAAGCGUAAUAGCUCACUGGUCGAGUCGGCCUGCGCGGAAGAUGUAACGGGGCUAAACCAUGCACCGAAGCUGCGGCAGCGACACUAUGUGUUGUUGGGUAGGGGAGCGUUCUGUAAGCCUGUGAAGGUGUACUGUGAGG